rnacentral:misc_RNA from 1 species
UGACAAGUGGAUGGUCCAUGUUCCCCAGUCUGUCAUCAAUUGCCUAUAAAGAAGCAAGUGAUGCAUUGCUCUGGCAAAAUUGAUCAAUCUUAAUCAUCACUAGGUGAAAAUGUCUUGCUGUGGAGGAAAUUGUGGCUGUGGCGCCGGAUGCAAGUGUGGCAGUGACUGCGGAGGGUAAGAUCAGAUCUAGACGUUUUCUUUAUCAAUUUCAUUCAAUUGAAUGGUUAACUUUGUGUUAAUUUGGUUUUGAUUUGAUUUAUGCUAGUUGCAAGAUGUAUCCUGACAUGAGCUUCUCUGAGAAAACCACCACGGAGACGAUGGUUCUCGGUGUGGCACCGGAGAAGGCACACUUCGAGGGAGCUGAGAUGAGCAUCGGAGCUGAGAAUGGAGGCUGCAAGUGUGGUGACAACUGUACUUGCGACCCUUGCACUUGUAAAUGAUGAGAUCAGAGGAAGAUCUGACCUCGUUAUAAAAAGAAAAUCAGACAUAUAAAGAAAUAAUGGAUCGAGUCUAGCGGUAGCUAAGUUGUGCGUCUGUUCGUGUAUCUGUCUGUGUUUUUAAGCUUCAAUAAAGUAGCCAUUGAAGAAGUUUAUGCAGAUCUUGUAUUAGGAUUUUGCAGAAACUUUAUAUGGCUACUUCUUGGUUGAGUUUAUAUGUAUAUAAGGUAUGCAUGCAUGUUGAUUUACAAGCAUGAAUGUAUAUGAGGAGUAAGCUUUUGAUAUGGCUUAAUGGAAAACUUCCUUGAAAUUUUAGCUCGUUAAAUUUGAUUGAUUUCAUAGAUGAUAUGAAAGGCGAUGGAAAUGUUUUGGUUUGCUUGUUAUUGGACGGAUGAGAAAUAGUGAUAAGGAUGAAGACGAGAGUUGGGUUGAUAUUUACUGUUGGUGCAUUCAUUAUGAAUGACAAAAUGAGCCGUUUCGCUUAUGCUAACAUUACAUGUUUGGAACUAAUAAAUUGAAUUGAAAAUAUAUAAAUUCAUUUCAAUCUUAUAUUUGGAUAGCUAAUGAAUACUCACUUAUGAGAUAAUACUUUUUUAAAAUAUGAAAUUUAAUAAUAUAUCUAAAAAUUUAAUUAUUAAGUUAUUUUUUAGAAAAUAUUUAUCUAAAAAAAAGAAAGAAGAGAAUAUUUCGAAAGAAAUAUAUUUAUUUAAAAAAUAGGAAAAUGGAGAAGGAG